GCUACGGGAGGCAGCAGUGAGGAAUAUUGGUCAAUGGGCGAGAGCCUGAACCAGCCAAGUCGCGUGAAGGAUGACGGCCCUACGGGUUGUAAACUUCUUUUGUCAGGGAGCAAUUGGGUCCACGCGUGGGCUUAGCGAGAGUACCUGAAGAAAAAGCAUCGGCUAACUCCGUGCCAGCAGCCGCGGUAAUACGGAGGAUUCAAGCGUUAUCCGGAUUUAUUGGGUUUAAAGGGUGCGUAGGCGGUUCGAUAAGUUAGAGGUGAAAUCCCGGGGCUCAACUCCGGCACUGCCUCUGAUACUGUCGGGCUAGAGUUUAGUUGCGGUAGGCGGAAUGUAUGGUGUAGCGGUGAAAUGCAUAGAGAUCAUACAGAACACCGAUUGCGAAGGCAGCUUACCAAACUACGACUGACGUUGAGGCACGAAAGCGUGGGGAGCAAACAGGAUUAGAUACCCCGGUAGUC
rnacentral:rRNA from 1 species